rnacentral:rRNA from 1 species
GCAGGGGGCACCCUUGAUCCAGCCAUGCCGCGUGUGUGAAGAAGGCUUUCGGGUUGUAAAGCACUUUCAGUGAGGAGGAAAACUCUGCGACUAAUACUCGUAGGGCUUGACGUUACUCACAGAAGAAGCACCGGCUAACUCCGUGCCAGCAGCCGCGGUAAUACGAA